rnacentral:rRNA from 1 species
AGCGGUGGAGCAUGUGGUUUAAUUCGAAGCAACGCGAAGAACCUUACCAGGUCUUGACAUCCCUUGACAACUCCAGAGAUGGAGCGUUCCCUUCGGGGACAAGGUGACAGGUGGUGCAUGGUUGUCGUCAGCUCGUGUCGUGAGAUGUUGGGUUAAGUCCCGCAACGAGCGCAACCCUUAUUACUAGUUGCCAGCAUUUAGUUGGGCACUCUAGUGAGACUGCCGGUGACAAACCGGAGGAAGGUGGGGAUGACGUCAAAUCAUCAUGCCCCUUAUGACCUGGGCUACACACGUGCUACAAUGGCGUAUACAACGAGUUGCCAACCCGCGAGGGUGAGCUAAUCUCUUAAAGUACGUCUCAGUUCGGAUUGUAGGCUGCAACUCGCCUACAUGAAGUCGGAAUCGCUAGUAAUCGCGGAUCAGCACGCCGCGGUGAAUACGUUCCCGGGUCUUGUACACACCGCCCGUCACACCAUGAGAGUUUGUAACACCCAAAGCCGGUGGGGUA